rnacentral:lncRNA from 1 species
GAGUUUGAGUCCUAACUUUCAUUUUGUUUUAAGCACAUUCUCAUUUUUGUUAGUUUAUGUUUUCUUUAUAAAAAAUAAUAACAAUAAUAAUACGUAAAUUGCAUUUUUUUAAAUUUUUUUUUUUUUUAAAAUUAAGUACUAUUUUAGACAUUUAAAAAAAACAAGAGAAAAUAAAAAAAAAAGUAUAUGGUAGUCAUAUCAUUUAUAAACAAGGUCAAAAAUAGAAAUCAAAUUUG